rnacentral:rRNA from 1 species
GACGAACGCUGGCGGCGUGCUUAACACAUGCAAGUCGAACGGAAAGGCCCUGCUUGCAGGGUACUCGAGUGGCGAACGGGUGAGUAACACGUGGGUGAUCUGCCCUGCACUUCGGGAUAAGCCUGGGAAACUGGGUCUAAUACCGGACAGGAGCCAUUUUUAGUGUGAUGGUUGGAAAGUUUUUUCGGUGUAGGAUGAGCUCGCGACCUAUCGGCUUGUUGGUGGGGUAAUGGCCUACCAAGGCGGCGACGGGUAGCCGGCCUGAGAGGGUGGACGGCCACAUUGGGACUGACAGACGGCCCAGACUCCGACGGGAGGCAGCAGGGGGGAAGCUUGCACAAUGGGCGCCAGCCUGAUGCAGCGACGCCGCGUGGGGGAUGACGGCCUUCGGGUUGUAAACCCCUUUCGCUAGGGACGAAGCUUUUUGUGACGGUACCUAGAUAAGAAGCACCGGCUAACUACGUG